rnacentral:lncRNA from 1 species
UAAGAAACUACCCAUGAUCCUGGCUCUGCACCUGAAGAGGUUUAAGUACAUGGACCAGCUUCAUCGAUAUACAAAGCUUUCUUACCGGGUGGUGUUUCCUUUAGAACUCCGUCUGUUUAACACUUCAGGAGACGCAACCAACCCUGACAGAAUGUAUGACCUGGUCGCUGUUGUGGUUCACUGUGGAAGUGGUCCCAAUCGAGGCCAUUAUAUUGCAAUAGUUAAGAGUCAUGAUUUUUGGUUGUUAUUUGAUGACGACAUUGUAGAAAAAAUAGACGCACAAGCUAUUGAAGAAUUCUACGGACUGACAUCUGACAUCUCCAAGAACUCUGAGUCUGGGUACAUCCUUUUCUAUCAGUCUCGGGACUGAAAGGUGCCGCAGUGGAAAGAAGCUUCUGCUUGCUUCUCUGGUUGCUUCCGAAAGGAUCGAGCUGAUGUUUAAGAAGAGAGAAAGAGACAGACGCAGGACGCUCAGGGCAGUAGCUCACUUUGCAUACAAUAAAGCAAAGGCUGGAUUAACACGCCCUUCCGGUCACGUUAGUUGAAUUUUUUGCUCAGGAAUCAUGCUGUCUGCAGUUCCACACAAGGACGUGAUCAGAGAUACCAGCUCUUGUGAAGCAGCUGCCAGCUGCCGACACGGUUUCCGUAGUCAUCGCACCAAGGAUGAUGUGAGUUCUUCGGGAGGGCAGUGGAGGAGUUAGGAUGUGCUAGGGUGAUUGAGCACACCGCACUGUGCGCCAGCGCGCGGGAUGCGUGUGUGCACUGUGCAUGGAGCAGUGACGGUCUCUUCAAGCAUCCCGAAAAGUACCUUUGGGCCCAACACUUGCAGUUGCCUUCCUGACGCACAGAGCACAGACACGGAGCCCAGUGUCAGGAGGUCAAAGAUACCUGCUUCUCUGGAGAAGCGUGUGAUCAUAUACAGUGUAUGUACAUGGAGGGAACAGCUGGUCAAAACUGGCUUCUUGAUUCCCCAAGGGGAGAGACUGGCUUUGUAAUGAUCUUUUUUCCUUAUUUAUUUUACUUAAACUGGUUGAGUCCAAGCAUUGUAUGAAGUGCCCGUGAUUCUACCAGCUAGUCUUGGCGUAUUUGAUUAGUUUGUCAGCUGAGGCAGUCCUGUUGUCCGUUUCUGUUUUCAAGGUGAACUGAACAUUGUAACUGAAUCACUAAGGUAAUCAUGAGAGGAUCGUAGUGAGCGGGGUCAGUGCUGUCCCGAGGGACUGUCUCUGGCUGAGCAGUGAGCGGGGGGGUCAGUGCUGUCCCGAGGGACUGUCUCUGGCUGAGCACUUGCUCCUUGGUUAUAGUUUGUCACUUUUUUUUAAAGCUUUAAAUGCAGUGAAGUAGGAGUUCCCUGUUGCUAGAGUGAUAAAGGAAGCCCCAGCAUGAGGCUGGCGUGCUGCCAGCCCGAACCCCAGGACGUCGGUGCGUACAGCUGUGGCAGUCUUUAGUCCUGUUUUAGCCUUGGGAAGGACUAAUAGAGCAGCCAGAACCCCAUCAGCCAGGGCAGCUCAAGCCCUUUGGAAGAUUACAUUUUGGUAGUGUAGUAAUCUCAAAAAGAAGCCCCUCGCCCUCCUGACCUGAGUGUCCUAUUAGAGCGCUGUUCAGACACUUACAGCUAGAUCUGUUGGGAGUUUAGGGAACAGUACGGGAGUCUCCACAUAUGGCCAGGCAUCAAGUGUAUGACAGUGGCUGAAUGUAACUUGCAGUAAGUGGUUGAGGAUUCUACUCAAAGUCCAGCUUCAGACUCUGGGUAGCCAUCCUCACACACACUCCUCAUAGUGUGGUGGCGGCCUGUUGAUAAAGCCCCUGGUUUUCUAAAGCUAUUUUACUAAAACUGUUGACUGAGAAGAAAACAGCAAAAAGAAAUGUUUUUUGUGCUGCUAUGAUUAACAUUUAUUUUCUACCUUUAGCUCAGGAAAUGACUUCAUCUAUUCAUCCCAUAAGCAGAUUUGCAACGGGGUCACUUAGCUAAUCGGGCUUCGUAGACAGAUGUGCUGGGAGAAAA